rnacentral:rRNA from 1 species
GUGGGGAAUAUUGGACAAUGGGCGAAAGCCUGAUCCAGCCAUGCCGCGUGUGUGAAGAAGGUCUUCGGAUUGUAAAGCACUUUAAGUUGGGAGGAAGGGCAGUAAGUUAAUACCUUGCUGUUUUGACGUUACCGACAGAAUAAGCACCGGCUAACUUCGUGCCAGCAGCCGCGGUAAUACGAAGGGUGCAAGCGUUAAUCGGAAUUACUGGGCGUAAAGCGCGCGUAGGUGGUUUUGUAAGUUGGAGGUGAAAUCCCCGGGCUCAACCUGGGAACUGCCUCGAAAACUGCAUGACUAGAGUACGGUAGAGGGUAGUGGAAUUUCCUGUGUAGCGGUGAAAUGCGUAGAUAUAGGAAGGAACACCAGUGGCGAAGGCGACUACCUGGACUGAUACUGACACUGAGGUGCGAAAGCGUGGGGAGCAAACAGGAUUAGAAACCCUUGUAGUCC